rfam:Asian citrus Psyllid, Diaphorina citri - Florida Strain, whole genome shotgun sequence.
GCUCCCAUGGCGUAGUGGUCACUGCGCUCGCCUUGCACGCGGGAGACCCGGGUUUGAUUCCCGGCGGGGGCA